GACGAACGCUGGCGGCGUGCUUAACACAUGCAAGUCGAACGGAAAGGCCCUGCUUUUGUGGGGUGCUCGAGUGGCGAACGGGUGAGUAACACGUGAGUAACCUGCCCUUGACUUUGGGAUAACUUCAGGAAACUGGGGCUAAUACCGGAUAGGAGCUCCUGCUGCAUGGUGGGGGUUGGAAAGUUUCGGCGGUUGGGGAUGGACUCGCGGCUUAUCAGCUUGUUGGUGGGGUAGUGGCUUACCAAGGCUUUGACGGGUAGCCGGCCUGAGAGGGUGACCGGCCACAUGGGGACUGAGAUACGGCCCAGACUCCUACGGGAGGCAGCGGUGGGGAAUAUUGCACAAGGGGCGGAAGCCUGAUGCAGCAACGCCGCGUGCGGGAUGACGGCCUUCGGGUUGUAAACCGCUUUCGCCUGUGACGAAGCGUGAGUGACGGUAAUGGGGAAAGAAGCACCGGCUAACUACGU
rnacentral:rRNA from 1 species